rnacentral:rRNA from 1 species
UACGUAGGGUGCGAGCGUUGCCCGGAUUUAUUGGGCGUAAAGGGCGCGUAGGCGGCCACGCACGUCCGUUGUGAAAUCGCCCGGCUCAACUGGGCGGGGUCGGCGGAUACGGCGUGGCUGGAGCAAGCUAGGGGGCAAUGGAAUUCCCGGUGUAGUGGUGGAAUGCGUAGAUAUCGGGAGGAACACCAGUGGCGAAGGCGGUUGCCUGGAGCUUUGCUGACGCUGAUGCGCGAAAGCUGGGGGAGCGAACGGG